CUAAACUAGCUGCUGCUACUUCUGCGUUACCAAUAUCCGCUUCAUCAACACGCCGAAAGUUACAACCUGAUCGGGAAGCGGACUCUAUGAUUGUAUCAGCAAACAAGAGGACCCGAAAAAUCAAAUCGGAAUCACCUUCAAUAACGGAAUCAAUUUUGACACCAGCCGCAGCUCCAGUUAUUCAGCUGGAAUCAACAAUUCCUGCUGUGUUGAAGGCAACAGAGUUGAGAGUAAAUGAAGUUCUUCAAACAAGAAAUACGCUGAGGUCCCUGGAAAAUCUACCACAAAUUGACGUGCUGGGAAAGCUUUUAAGUAAAGCUGACAAAGCUGUACCUAUUUCUCCAGCUCUACCUUCGCCGAUAGCAUCAGUCACAGUAAACACGACCUGCCUCGGGGUUUCACCAUUCUUUGUAGCUACUUCGCCUGAUAGAGUUGCUUCCCCUAUUGAAUCAACGUCGAAGGCUAGUGCAACAAACGGGUUGACGAAUUCCGUCGAAUUUUCUAAAGUUACAGGUCGAGUAACUUCACGGAUUG